rnacentral:misc_RNA from 1 species
GAUGAAGAACGUAGCGAAAUGCGAUACGUAAUGUGAAUUGCAGAAUUCAGUGAAUCAUCGAGUCUUUGAACGCACAUUGCGCCCCCUGGUAUUCCGGGGGGCAUGCCUGUCCGACCGUCAUUGCUGCCCUCAAGCACGGCUUGUGUGUUGGGCCUCCGUCCUCCUCCCGGGGGACGGGCCCGAAAGGCAGCGGCGGCACCGCGUCCGGUCCUCGAGCGUAUGGGGCUUCGUCACCCGCUCUUGUAGGCCCGGCCGGCGCUUGCCGACACAUCAAUCUUUUUUCCAGGUUGACCUCGGAUCAGGUAGGGAUACCCGCUGAACUUAAGCAUAUCAAUAAGCGGAGGA